GAUGAACGCUGGCGGCGUGCCUAAUACAUGCAAGUCGAGCGAACGGACGAGAAGCUUGCUUCUCUGAUGUUAGCGGCGGACGGGUGAGUAACACGUGGAUAACCUACCUAUAAGACUGGGAUAACUUCGGGAAACCGUAGCUAAUACCGGAUAAUAUUUUGAACCGCAUGGUUCAAAAGUGAAAGACGGUCUUGCUGUCACUUAUAGAUGGAUCCGCGCUGCAUUAGCUAGUUGGUAAGGUAACGGCUUACCAAGGCAACUAUGCGUAGCCGACCUGAGAGGGUGAUAGCCCACACUGGAACUGAGACACGGUCCAGACUCCUACGGGAGGCAGCAGUAUGGAAUCUGCCGCAAUGGGCGAGAGCCUGACGGAGCAACGCCGCGUGAGUGAUGAAGGUCUUCGGAUCGUAAAACUCUGUUAUUAGGGAAGAACAAAUGUGUAAGUAACUAUGCACGUCUUGACGGUACCUAAUCAGAAAGCCACGGCUAACUACGUG
rnacentral:rRNA from 1 species